GACGAACGCUGGCGGCGUGCCUAAUACAUGCAAGUCGAGCGAAUGACGAGAAGCUUGCUUCUCUGAUUUAGCGGCGGACGGGUGAGUAACACGUGGGCAACCUGCCCUACAGAUCGGGAUAACUCAGGGAAACCUGGGCUAAUACCGGAUAAUCCUUCGAACCACAUGUUUUGAAGUUGAAAGGCGCUUCGGCGUCACUGUAGGAUGGGCCCGCGGUGCAUUAGCUAGUUGGUGGGGUAACGGCCUACCAAGGCAACGAUGCAUAGCCGACCGGAGAGGGUGAUCGGCCACAUUGGGACGGAGACACGGCCCAAACUCCGACGGGAGGCAGCAGUAGGGAAUCUUCCACAAUGGACGAAGGUCUGAUGGAACAACGCCGCGUGAGUGAUGAAGGUUUUCGGAUCGUAAAACUCUGUUGUAAGGGAAGAACAAGUACGUUAGGAAAUGAACGUACCUUGACGGUACCUUAUUAGAAAGCCACGGCUAACUACGUGCCAGCCGCCGCGGUAA
rnacentral:rRNA from 1 species